rnacentral:tRNA from 1 species
AGUAUAGCUCAGUGGUAAAGCACUUGCCUAAUAUGUGUGAGGCCCUGGGUUCAAUUCUCAAUCUA